AUUGAACGCUGGCGGCAGGCCUAACACAUGCAAGUCGAGCGGCUCGGCGGACGGGUGAGUAAUGCCUAGGAAUCUGCCUGGUAGUGGGGGAUAACGUUCGGAAACGGGCGCUAAUACCGCAUCCUAUCAGAUUCGCCUAGGUCGGAUUAGCUAGUGGGAGGGGUAAAGGCCUACCAAGGCGACGACCCGUAUCUGGUCUGAGAGGAUGAUCAGUCAAACUGGAACUGAGACACGGUCCAGACUCCUACGGGAGGCAGCAGUGGGGAAUAUUGGACAAUGGGCGAAAGCCUGAUCCAGCCAUGCCGCGUGUGUGAAGAAGGUCUUCGGAUUGUAAAGCACUUUAAGUUGGGAGGCGUUACCAACAGAAUAAGCACCGGCUAACUUCGUGCCAGCAGCCGCGGUAAUUC
rnacentral:rRNA from 1 species